rnacentral:rRNA from 1 species
CCUACGGGAGGCAGCAGUGAGGAAUAUUGGUCAAUGGACGAGAGUCUGAACCAGCCAAGUAGCGUGAAGGAUGACUGCCCUAUGGGUUGUAAACUUCUUUUAUAUGGGAAUAAAACAGGGUAUGCAUACCCUCUUGUAUGUACAAUAUGAAUAAGGAUGGGCUAACUCCGUGCCAGCAGCCGCGGUAAUACGGAGGAUGCGAGCGUUAUCCGGAUUUAAUGGGUUUAAAGGGAGCGUAGGUGGAUUGUGAAGUCAGUUGUGAAAGUUUGCGGCUCAACAGUAAAAUUGCAGUUGAAACUGGCAGUCUUGAGUACAGGAGAGGUAGGCGGAAUUCGUGGUGUAGCGGUGAAAUGCUUAGAUAUCACGAAGAACUCCGAUUGCGAAGGCAGCUUACUGGACUGCAAAUGACACUGAUGCUCGAAAGUGUGGGUAGCAAACAGGAUUAGAUACCCUUGUAGUC